rnacentral:rRNA from 1 species
GACGUAGGGGGCGAGCGUUGUCCGGAUUUAUUGGGCGUAAAGCGUGCGUAGGCGGCUGCGCAAGUCGGGUGUGAAAGCCCUCAGCUUAACUGAGGAAGUGCGCCCGAAACUGCUUUGCUUGAGUGCCGGAGAGGAUGGCGGAAUUCCCCAAGUAGAGGUGAAAUUCGUAGAUAUGGGGAGGAACACCGGUGGCGAAGGCGGCCAUCUGGACGGUAACUGACGCUGAGACGCGAAAGCGUGGGUAGCAAACAGG